UGCAAAUAAAAAAAUAAAUUCAACAUGGCUCCAGAACAUGUCGGUUGGGAAUCCGAAAACCUUAUUCAAAAACCUUACUUUUAAGACAUCUUUAUGUCAACCAAUAAGAUUAGAGGCAUCAAUUAAUGUAAUGAUAAUGAAAUAAAAACACCUCUGACCAGCAUUUUUGUCCCCAUUUUGCCUCACUGUAUGUUUUGCCACGUAGUUUUUUCCCCACUCUAAGUGAUACCUUUUAUGUACAUUUGUCCCCUUGAGUUUACCAUAUAUGGAGUCUUAUUUCUGCGAGGUUUACCUUUGAUAUGUAUUUGUUCCGUUGAGCUUUUUCCUUUUAUGGAGUUUUUUGGGCGACCCUAUGCAAAUGAGCUGUGGGUGGGGCGUCGCAUUUCAAUUAAGAUGCACCUGCGUCUUUCUCCGUUUGCCCUGAGACAGGUAUUGAGGCGUAAAGGAAAAUAAAGAAUAAAAAAUAGUAUGCUAAAACUUAAAAAAAACUGACUCAUGGUUCACCCCAAUGAAAAACUUCACCCCCAAUGAAACCUCCUCUCUUCGAAAACCUGUGUUUCCCUUCGAGCCUGCUUGGUUUGGUCUGAUUCCACAUGCCAUCUUUGGAGCAGUAGAGUGUGUGCUGCCCCAGAGGGUCCAUGAUGUAACCAGGGUUGCAGUGAUAACGGACCGUCUUAUUGAAGGCUGGUUGCCACUCCAUGAACUGUUCUGCAGGCAGGUACGCUCCGAGGAGCCCCUCAACAUAUAUCCCGCUUCGCAGGUGAAGCGCAGGAGGCUCCGAACACGAAACUCCUCUCCCAGGCGUGAGCCAUGUGGCGGAACACCCGGGUCUCCACAAAAACCAAGAGCACCACCUGCAAGUGAGCAUUAUAGAGAGAGUUGGGUUUCAAUUCAUCAGCCUAGGUGAAAGGUCCCAAGGCCAUUGGCCAGACACUCCCGCAUGUGGGAGCCGACUAGCGUGUAGCCUGUAUUGCACAUGAAGAUGGCUGUGGCACCAAAGGUCGUCAGUGUACCCAUCUUCUUACCAUUAGGAGGAGAAGGCAAUUCCCCACAGGAGAUAACUACAAAUGACAAAGGCAAGCUGGAACAAUUCAAAGUCAGGAAAUGACUAAAAAGGUGCAAGGCAAACAAACACAGGAAGCUUACAAAUCAAAUCAACUCUUGAACCUCCAUUGGGGGAGAGAAGAAUAGGGGAUGUAAGAAGAGGCAUGGAUGCUAUCUGACCUACAAGUAGGCGAUGAGGACAAAUGAUGGAUCCCAUCCCCACACCUUCCACCAGACACUCAAACAAACACUGUAGAUGCCUCUUAUUUUCAGAGGGGUGCUAUGAUCCCUGUCAUUCCCUAAAAUGCACACCGAGCUUUUCAGAAGAAAAAUGCUGUGUGGGAAGGGAACUUGGUAAGAUUACCUGAAACCAUGGAGAUUGUACAAGUAGCUGCAGGUGGUUUAAAAACAUUCACAUGCAGCUAUUGAUCCCCCCCCCACCCAAUUUUCCCUAAUUUGGUCACCUGCCAAUCACCACCAGAGAGUAGCCAAGCCUUUUGAAGCAAAACAGUACGAUUCCAGUAAGGGGAUUAAUACAGUCAGGAAUGAAAAGCUGUUGCUCACCUUGGUAUGUGAGCCUGAAGCCCUGGCGAUUUUGCGAGUGGUCGCUGUAGAAGUGGAUGACUGUCUCAUGAGUUGUGCUC